UACCUGCUGCGUUGUACGUGAACGAAUGAAGUUUCAACCGAUGGCUGUAAAGAGGGAGUUCUAUAUCGAAACGGGAAUGUCAUGCCUCCCAUUGAUGAUGGCAGAGGACGACAAGAACGUUUCUGCGAACACCCACCUAGUGGAGUGUGGUUGAGAAACUCCAUUCAAACAACGGCAAAUCGCGGCACUUUC
rnacentral:other from 1 species